rnacentral:rRNA from 1 species
UACAGAGGUGCCAAGCGUUAGGCGGAAUCACUGGGCUUAAAGCGUGUGUAGGCGGAUCGUUAAGUGCCUUGUGAAAUCCCACGGCUCAACCGUGGAACUGCUUGGCAUACUGGCGGUCUUGAGCAACCUAGGGGCGAGCGGAACAAAUGGUGGAGCGGUGAAAUGCGUAGAUAUCAUUUGGAACGCCAAUGGUGAAAACAGCUCGCUGGGGGUUUGCUGACGCUGAGACACGAAAGCCAGGGGAGCAAACGGG